UGGGGAAUAUUGGACAAUGGGCGCAAGCCUGAUCCAGCCAUACCGCGUGGGUGAAGAAGGCCUUCGGGUUGUAAAGCCCUUUUGUUGGGAAAGAAAUCCAGCUGGCUAAUACCCGGUUGGGAUGACGGUACCCAAAGAAUAAGCACCGGCUAACUUCGUGCCAGCAGCCGCGGUAAUACGAAGGGUGCAAGCGUUACUCGGAAUUACUGGGCGUAAAGCGUGCGUAGGUGGUCGUUUAAGUCCGUUGUGAAAGCCCUGGGCUCAACCUGGGAACUGCAGUGGAUACUGGACGACUAGAGUGUGGUAGAGGGUAGCGGAAUUCCUGGUGUAGCAGUGAAAUGCGUAGAGAUCAGGAGGAACAUCCAUGGCGAAGGCAGCUACCUGGACCAACACUGACACUGAGGCACGAAAGCGUGGGGAGCAAACAGGAUUAGAUACCCUAGUAGUCCCUGAGCGGGCUGGCAAGGCGCAU
rnacentral:rRNA from 1 species